rnacentral:rRNA from 1 species
AGAGUUUGAUCAUGGCUCAGGAUGAACGCUAGCUACAGGCUUAACACAUGCAAGUCGAGGGGCAGCAUGUUGGUUGCUUGCAACCAACGAUGGCGACCGGCGCACGGGUGAGUAACGCGUAUCCAACCUACCCUUGUCCAUCGGAUAACCCGUCGAAAGGCGGCCUAACACGAUAUGCGGUUCACAGCAGGCAUCUAACGUGAACGAAAUGUAAAGGAGAAGGAUGGGGAUGCGUCUGAUUAGCUUGUUGGCGGGGUAACGGCCCGACCAAGGCUACGGAUCAGUAGGGGUUCUGAGAGGAAGGUCCCCCACAUUGGAACUGAGACACGGUCCAAACUCCUACGGAGGCA